GACGAACGCUGGCGGCGUGCUUAACACAUGCAAGUCGAACGGGCCCGCCCCUGUUUUUUGGGGGUGGGUUGAGUGGCGAACGGGUGAGUAUCACGUGAGUAACCUGCCCCCUGCUCCUGGAUAACUGCUUGAAAGGGCGGCUAAUACGGGGUGUGCCGGCUGGUCCGCAUGGGCCUGGUCGGGAUAGUUUCAUCUUCGGGUGUUUCGGUGGGGGAUGGGCUCGCGGCCUAUCAGCUUGUUGGUGGGGUGAUGGCCCACCAAGGCGGUGACGGGUAGCCGGCCUGAGAGGGUGGGCGGCCACACUGGGACUGAGACACGGCCCAGACUCCUGCGGGAGGCAGCAGUGGGGGGUAUUGCACAAUGGGCGGAAGCCUGAUGCAGCGACGUCGCGUGAGGGAUGGAGGCCUUCGGGUUGUG
rnacentral:rRNA from 1 species